UUCUAUGUAUUUGUUUUAGUGCAACGAAGACAAAGAUUGCAUUUAUCCAGAAAGAUGUGUGUUUCGGUCGGAAAAGACUGGUAAUUUUUGUAGUAGGGUAAUACGAAAUUAUCCUGUUAUACCAACGACGCCCAAAACUUGCGUCAUACCUGGAUUAUAUUGCGAAAAAGACGAUGAUUGCUGUUCCAAAAACUGUCAUAGGUUUUUCAAUACUAGCAUAACCUAUUGCCUAUCUAAUGAUCCACCUUUGUGCAAAUUGACCGGUGCGGAAUGUUCUAGGAAUUUAGAUUGCUGUUCUGCAAACUGUGACAAUUAUACGAUAGCAACUUCUGUCCGUACCUGCCUUCCAAAAGCAAAUGGCUUCUCCAUCACGACGCCAUUAAGUAUUGAUAUUCCGCCAUUUUGCAUUAAAAGUGGAUCGACUUGCAAAUCAAAUGAUGAAUGCUGCUCUGGUUUAUGUUCAUUUCCACCACACAGUAAAUUACUUGUUUGCUUGGAUCAUCUUUAAAAUUUUUU